rnacentral:lncRNA from 1 species
GGGGACUGGAGAUAAUACUAAAAUAAGACCCAUUCCUGCUUUCAAAGAACUUACACACCUUGGUAGGUUGGAUGGAAGGACACGAUAAGAGAAGAAUUUAGUUUGAAAGCUCAUCUGACAUUUACAACAUGCUACUAAGAACCAUUUAGGUCUGCUGCCCUGUUCCAUUUCAGACAGAGGAGAGGUGAGGCAAUGAAAGGUUCUACUGAUUAAGGGAAUUACUGCAAAACUUCAUAAAAGAUUAUUCUUUCCUAUUAAAGAUGUAGUCUACGGAGAACAGAGGAAAUGAAUGUGAUCAAACCUAUCUCAUGUAAGUAAAUCCUUUUUCUGUAAUGUGAAUAACUAUAUACAUUUUUAUUUUCAUAAUUGUCUGAUGUUAA